rnacentral:rRNA from 1 species
GAAAGGCGAAAAGAACCCCGGCGAGGGGAGUGAAAAAGAACCUGAAACCGUGUACGUACAAGCAGUGGGAGCACCCUUUGGGUGUGACUGCGUACCUUUUGUAUAAUGGGUCAGCGACUUAUAUUCUGUAGCAAGGUUAACCGAAUAGGGGAGCCGGAGGGAAACCGAGUCUUAAUUGGGCGUUAAGUUGCAGGGUAUAGACCCGAAACCCGGUGAUCUAGCCAUGGGCAGGUUGAAGGUUGGGUAACACUAACUGGAGGACCGAACCGACUAAUGUUGAAAAAUUAGCGGAUGACCUGUGGCUGGGGGUGAAAGGCCAAUCAAACCGGGAGAUAGCUGGUUCUCCCCGAAAGCUAUUUAGGUAGCGCCUCGUGAAUUCAUCUCCGGGGGUAGAGCACUGUUUCGGCUAGGGGGCCAUCCCGGCUUACCAACCCGAUGCAAACUGCGAAUACCGGAGAAUGUUAUCACGGGAGACACACGGCGGGUGCUAACGUCCGUCGUGAAGAGGGAAACAACCCAGACCGCCAGCUAAGGUCCCAAAGUCAUGGUUAAGUGGGAAACGAUGUGGGAAGGCCCAGACAGCCAGGAUGUUGGCUUAGAAGCAGCCAUCAUUUAAAGAAAGCGUAAUAGCUCACUGGUCGAGUCGGCCUGCGCGGAAGAUGUAACGGGGCUAAACCAUGCACCGAAGCUGCGGCAGCGACACUGUGUGUUGUUGGGUAGGGGAGCGUUCUGUAAGCCUGUGAAGGUGUGUCGUGAGGCAUGCUGGAGGUAUCAGAAGUGCGAAUGCUGACAUAAGUAACGAUAAAGCGGGUGAAAAGCCCGCUCGCCGGAAGACCAAGGGUUCCUGUCCAACGUUAAUCGGGGCAGGGUGAGUCGACCCCUAAGGCGAGGCCGAAAGGCGUAGUCGAUGGGAAACGGGUUAAUAUUCCCGUACUUGGUGUUACUGCGAAGGGGGGACGGAGAAGGCUAUGUUGGCCGGGCGACGGUUGUCCCGGUUUAAGCGUGUAGGUGUGUGUUCCAGGUAAAUCCGGUUCACUUUAACACUGAGGCGUGACGACGAGGCACUACGGUGCUGAAGCAACAAAUGCCCUGCUUCCAGGAAAAGCCUCUAAGCAUCAGGUAACAUCAAAUCGUACCCCAAACCGACACAGGUGGUCAGGUAGAGAAUACCAAGGCGCUUGAGAGAACUCGGGUGAAGGAACUAGGCAAAAUGGUGCCGUAACUUCGGGAGAAGGCACGCUGACACGUAGGUGAAGUGAUUUACUCAUGGAGCUGAAGUCAGUCGAAGAUACCAGCUGGCUGCAACUGUUUAUUAAAAACACAGCACUGUGCAAACACGAAAGUGGACGUAUACGGUGUGACGCCUGCCCGGUGCCGGAAGGUUAAUUGAUGGGGUCAGCGCAAGCGAAGCUCCUGAUCGAAGCCCCGGUAAACGGCGGCCGUAACUAUAACGGUCCUAAGGUAGCGAAAUUCCUUGUCGGGUAAGUUCCGACCUGCACGAAUGGCGUAAUGAUGGCCAGGCUGUCUCCACCCGAGACUCAGUGAAAUUGAACUCGCUGUGAAGAUGCAGUGUACCCGCGGCAAGACGGAAAGACCCCGUGAACCUUUACUAUAGCUUGACACUGAACAUUGAGCCUUGAUGUGUAGGAUAGGUGGGAGGCUUUGAAGUGUGGACGCCAGUCUGCAUGGAGCCGACCUUGAAAUACCACCCUUUAAUGUUUGAUGUUCUAACGUGGACCCGUUACCCGGGUUGCGGACAGUGUCUGGUGGGUAGUUUGACUGGGGCGGUCUCCUCCUAAAGAGUAACGGAGGAGCACGAAGGUUGGCUAAUCCUGGUCGGACAUCAGGAGGUUAGUGCAAUGGCAUAAGCCAGCUUGACUGCGAGCGUGACGGCGCGAGCAGGUGCGAAAGCAGGUCAUAGUGAUCCGGUGGUUCUGAAUGGAAGGGCCAUCGCUCAACGGAUAAAAGGUACUCCGGGGAUAACAGGCUGAUACCGCCCAAGAGUUCAUAUCGACGGCGGUGUUUGGCACCUCGAUGUCGGCUCAUCACAUCCUGGGGCUGAAGUAGGUCCCAAGGGUAUGGCUGUUCGCCAUUUAAAGUGGUACGCGAGCUGGGUUUAGAACGUCGUGAGACAGUUCGGUCCCUAUCUGCCGUGGGCGCUGGAGAACUGAGGGGGGCUGCUCCUAGUACGAGAGGACCGGAGUGGACGCAUCACUGGUGUUCGGGUUGUCAUGCCAAUGGCACUGCCCGGUAGCUAAAUGCGGAAGAGAUAAGUGCUGAAAGCAUCUAAGCACGAAACUUGCCCCGAGAUGAGUUCUCCCUGAGACUUAAAGUCUCCUGAAGGAACGUUGAAGACGACGACGUUGAUAGGCCGGGUGUGUAAGCGCAGCGAUGCGUUGAGCUAACCGGUACUAAUGAACCGUGAGGCUUAACCUUACAACGCCGAAG